rnacentral:rRNA from 1 species
GACGAACGCUGGCGGCGUGCUUAACACAUGCAAGUCGAACGGAAAGGCCCUGCUUGCAGGGUACUCGAGUGGCGAACGGGUGAGUAACACGUGGGUGAUCUGCCCUGCACUUCGGGAUAAGCCUGGGAAACUGGGUCUAAUACCGGAUAGGAGCCAUUUUUAGUGUGAUGGUUGGAAAGUUUUUUCGGUGUAGGAUGAGCUCGCGGCCUAUCAGCUUGUUGGUGGGGUAAUGGCCUACCAAGGCGGCGACGGGUAGCCGGCCUGAGAGGGUGGACGGCCACAUUGGGACUGAGAUACGGCCCAGACUCCUACGGGAGGCAGCAGUGGGGAAUAUUGCACAAUGGGCGCAAGCCUGAUGCAGCGACGCCGCGUGGGGGAUGACGGCCUUCGGGUUGGAAACUCCGUUCGCUAGGGACGAAGCUUUUUGUGACGGUACCUAGAGAAGAAGCACCGGCUAACUACGUG